rnacentral:lncRNA from 10 species
CCCAGCUCUGAAGUCUGUCAGCCUCUUCAGAUGUCACUUGCCAUGUGGUAAGGAAGUGUAGUCAGCAGCUGGUGCAGUGGGAAGAAGAGAAAGGAAGUUCCCCAAGACAAAAACAUCUCGGCAGACCGUGAUCAUGGGCUACAUUCUCCGUACCAGCUUCAUAGCUCCAGUGAGAAAAUAAAUUCCUGCAUCCAGGAGAUGUGGAGUAAGAGAUACAGCUGCCCUUGACCAUAUUUCUUACUUCCGAGAAGAUCGUAGCAGUAAUUCAGUACAGUCUUCAGGGAACACCAAGGCCUGUUUGAUUUUCCAAGUAUCAACAAGUGGAGUUGACAAGAGUGACAAGUGGUCAGAGCAAAGCAUUUCAUGAUGACUGUAACGUGCCUGUGUCAGCAGCGACUGCUUACAGUGAGAUUCACAUGACCAUCGUUUAUGACAUAGGAAGAAUAAAAGGAGAGAGAGAGAGAAAGAUAGGUAGUUGAUCAAAAUGAAGAAUUGGAUUUGGAAAGCAACUUCGAAUAGUCUCUGCUUAUAUUUCUGAGAUUAAGGCAAACAGUCUCAAGAAUCUCAUCCAGGAUACCUCAUCACAGGCUGGAGUGCAGUGUCAUGAGCUUGGCUCACUACAGCCUCCAUCUUCUGUGCUUAAGGAUCCUUCCCUCUCAACCUCCAAGGUAGCUGAGACUACAGGCAACAUUCGAAACCCAGGUGCCACUCCUUCAGGAAGGUACCAUCAAGCUCCAAGGACUCAUCCUCUUUCUCCUUCCCCACUACCUAGUCAUUAGAGCGUCAGCAUCCACUUCCUGAAAGGAAGAUGCCUGUUUUUCACAUAUCCCAGAAAGCCUCAUUUUAGGACAGCAUUUAGCAGAGUGUAUUCAGGAUCCCACUAACCUUUUCGGAAGACAUGACUUCCAGAUGAUAUAAGGCUCCAUCAGGAACUGUGCAGGACUGUGCACUCUGUUGAUACUCACAUGGUGGAAUUAUAUUGCCCUUGGCCAACCCUAAAGCCAUCAAGAUAGCAGCAACUACUCUAUCAUUACUGUACCACCACCUGUAUGGAUCUCGUUGCCCAUAUGAAACUGAGUAAGGAACAAUGUGCAUCACACUCACAGAGAAAGAUGGACAAGUUUGGAAUAAUUCACUGUCGAAGUCUUCUUGAGCUGAGCAGUCAUGUGAGCUUGGAAGAUGAUCCCUCUCCAGCUGAUCCUUCAGCUCAGGCCAUCAUCUACAUCUGGAUUCCUGACCCGGAGAAACUAUGAGUAAUGUGUGCUGCUUUUGAGCCACUAAGCUACAUGGUAAUAGGCUAUGCUUCAAUAAAC